AGCAGCCGCGGUAAUUCCAGCUCCAAUAGCGUAUAUUAAAGUUGUUGCAGUUAAAAAGCUCGUAGUUGAAUUUCGGGAUCAAUAUGUUGGUCGUGCCUUGGUACGUACUGGCAUUAUCGAUUCCUACCUUCUGAAGAACCUUGAUGUCAUUAAUUUGGUGUCUUGGGGAAUCAGGACUGUUACUUUGAAAAAAUUAGAGUGUUUAAAGCAGGCUCGCGCUUGAAUACAUUAGCAUGGAAUAAUGAAAUAGGACGUUUGAUUCUAUUUUGUUGGUUUCUAGGAUCGACGUAAUGAUUAAUAGGGAUAGUUGGGGGCAUUAGUAUUCAAUUGUCAGAGGUGAAAUUCUUGGAUUUAUUGAAGACUAACUACUGCGAAAAGCAUUUGCCAAGGAUGUUUUCAUUAAUCAAGAACGAAAGUUAGGGGAUCGAAGACGAUCAGAUACCGUCGUAG
rnacentral:rRNA from 1 species